GGGACGAAGACGCAGCAGUUUUUCCGGUUCGUUGUCCAGGAUCGGCAAGACGGACAGCUUUGAAGUCGGUCGCCGGAUGACGCUGCUACCAACCUUCACGUCCGCAGUGCGCACAAGACCGUCCGGUCCAGGGACCACCAUUUGAGGGCGGACGUUCGGCAUCUCCUUCCGGUUCUUUCCUCUUGGCUGGAGGGUCGUCAGGUAGUCCCGUCGCCAAGCUCUCCAGAAGUGCUCUCGCAAGAGCUGCAGGUGCUGCCACUUGGACAGCCGGUUUGUCGGUGUUCCCUCGUACGCCGGUUCCGGGAUUGCCGUCAGCGGAC